GAUUUCGGAGGAUCAACCGUGAGUCUGGUUCUUCUUCCUCGUCUCAAAUGAUUGGCCAUGGCAUGGCUUUCAAAGAUGUCAUCUUUAAUGGACUGGAAAGUGGAGGAGCUUCAAGGAAGCGACAACCAGGAGCAUCUUCGUGGCUAUUGCUAUCUCUCAUCUCAUGUGCAGGCUGAAAAAGAAACCACAACACUCUUCUGCGACACACGAUUUCCUCCUGUGACUGCAGCACUGCAUGAGAUCCGUGUGAUGGAAGGGUCUCAGGUAGCCUUCUCCAAGCCAUCAAAUGGGGCAUCUUUGGCUGGCACAGGCUGAAGGCUAAGAGAAGUUUGCCACACAGUGUCUUGGAGUGCCACUGCAAUAUGCACUUGGGCUCCGAAGAAGCCGGAAGUUCCUUUUUCCCCCAAAUGACAAG
rnacentral:lncRNA from 1 species